UACGUAGGGUGCAGGCGUUAAUCGGAAUUACUGGGCGUAAAGCGUGCGCAGGCGGUUUCCUAAGUCAGAUGUGAAAGCCCCGGGCUUAACCUGGGAACUGCGUUUGAAACUGGGAGACUCGAGUGUGGCAGAGGGGGGUGGAAUUCCACGUGUAGCAGUGAAAUGCGUAGAUAUGUGGAGGAACACCGAUGGCGAAGGCAACCCCCUGGGCUAACACUGACGCUCAUGCACGAAAGCGUGGGGAGCAAAC
rnacentral:rRNA from 1 species